UCAUCUAACUAUAAAGGACGUAUUCUCUGUCUGUCUGUUUAUGUAUGUAUGACUGUCCUUCGCAUAUCUCGAGAACCGUUCAUCCAAUCAACUUCACACUUGGCGGGUGCAAGCAGCCACACCGCAGAUCUCUACAACGCUGCAAACAGCACUUCUGGGUACCAAGCAAUCGGCAUGUUCCAGAAGGGCACACGCUAUUAAUGGGCCCUGCACUAGUUACCUUAAAUUGUUAAUCUGAACCAUUAGGAUGUAGUAUAGAAUGAUAAUGAUGAGGCCAGAAUCCACAUAUAAUAAUAUUGAGGCCAGAAUCUUUUUGUCCUAAGCUGAGUAUAUAUGAAGUGGGUCAAUAUGCAUCACUAGAACGAUAAAACACAAACUUUCUGUUACAUUAGUCUCCAACUCUGGUGUUGUUCCCAUUUGUGGAGGAAAAAGAGGGGGUGUUGAUCGUGUACGCACUGUUCAUUCAGAGGUUAAGGGUGUCUUUAGAGAACCCAUUUGGGGCUGGUGAGUCAGCACGACUGUCAGCCUCGCUGUUUCUCAGCUCCAUCAGUGUGGCAGCGGGCAGGCGUCCGGUUGGCAGGGCAGCAGGACAGUGACAGGGGCGUCUGACAGGGAGCACAGACAUGAGGCCAGGGAGGCAGAGGACAGUGCAGAGGGCUUGAGACCGGUCACAUAACAACAGCAUGAAAUCUAGACCUUUCAUCUAUGUUAGACCAAAAAAACAACAGAGGAUACUGCAUGUAUUGUGUAUCAGGGGCACGGCAACACACAAAAUGGUCAUGUAAUUAAGUCAGACUUACACUUAAAGUGACUCAAACUCUUAACGAAAGUCCAUCAGAGUUUUGACGGCAGACCGAGAAUCAAUCUCAGUGGGUGUGUGCGGAGCGUGGCCUUGGAAGCAUCUGUUCUUUGAGCACUGGACCUGAUCACAAAGCUAUUAUCUGUGAGAGUUAAGUCACAUAAACCACAGAGAAUCAACUGUCCUGCCCUGUGUGUCCUUAACUUUACAGCCAAAGCAGUCAUUCACCUUGAUAUAUCAAAACUAACUGAUUUUAACAGCAAAAAUAAAGAUCCCCUCUAGUUUGGAAGCCAAAGGAAAAAGUGAUGUAGGAGGCAAAACAUGCUCAUAGACUGUAAAAGAAGGGGACGUAGUCACUGUGACAUCACCCAUUGGUUUGUGGACUGCCGUUUUGAAGCCUCGAGUUCAGCAUUUUGGCCGUCAACUAGAAGUGGCAUGAGAGGGUGGAGCUGAAUGAGAC